AUAACUUUGGAUUGACCAUUUUGAAGAAAAUCUAUGACCUUGAGAAUUGAAAUUAUCGAAUUGUAUUGUGUUAAGUGAAGAUAUUGAAUUCUGUGUGCUGAAUUGAGAAAUUGAAUAUAAUAAGUAAGAUGGAGAUCAGUAAUUGAAUAUGUAUAAAUCGCAAGGAGAGUAAGUGGAAGAUGAAGUGAUAAGAAUAUGAAAGUAUUAUUGAAUUGAUAGUUGUAGAAUGGAUUAUAUGUUGAAUUAAGUCAGAAGUAGUAAGCCUUGGUGUUUUGUAGUUUGAUAAUUGAUUUCAGGUAGCUAGAGUAUAGUCAAUUGUGACAAUAAUAGAUCCAAUUCAUAUAACCAAUCUUUUCUCGUGUUUGAACCCACCUCUAUUAAUUCAAUUGCUUUGGUAUAUUAAAGCUU
rnacentral:lncRNA from 1 species